UUCCACUAUCUUGUCAUCUUGUAGAGUUCAAAUCUAUAUAUAUCGGGUUUGUGUAAAUCAGUUCAAUUAAGGAAAAUAAUUUCUUCUCACUUUCUUUGGAUUGUGUAUGGUGUGGCUUUGGCGUGUUGGUUCUUUGGGGAUGACUUUACUCUCAAAAUUGCGUGUCCCAAAGCUUUGGGUGUUCCUCUUGUUCAAUGUUUGCCAUCUUUGUCAAUUGGAAUGAAUUUGUUUCUCAUUGGGUCACUAGGUUAUGCGGCAUUCUUGAGAUUCAUUAUUUGCGGCAUUGUCAUGUUUUUAUAUUAUCUAUUGGUUGGUGUCCGUGCGACUUAUGAUCUGGCUCAUCAAAAUCAAGAAGAAUCAAAGGUUGGAGAGAGUACAUAGCUUGCCGUGCCGAUGAAGGGGAGAAUAAGGAGAGACGCGAAAUAGAUUCUCAAAAGAUUGGUGAUGCAAUGAAAGCUCUCCUUGGAUUCAAAAAGAGAGAUGGACAGGACAUCCUUGAUGAAAUGAAGUCUAUGAAGACAUACCAUUGUAAGUGCCUGAGUGGGGAUGAGAUAUGCUCGAGGAAUGGCAAAACAUAGCAGUGGAGAAGGUGGCAUUGUUGUGCCAUAGAUUUCUAUUUUGGGGAAAUCUCUUAUGCAUUUGAAUUUAGGAAGAUGCUCAAAUAGGCGGAUGGUUGGCACAAUUAU